AGUUUUAGGGCUGACGUCGGUAGAAAGCCCUAGUAGCGAUGGCGAUGACGGUGGGGCUUGUGGCGGCGGCUCUCAUCGCCGGGGGAGGAUCCGGAGCCAAGAUCUUCACGAAAUCCAGCGCCAGGCUAAGAUCCUUGCGGCUCGACCAGCAGCUAUGGUGGUGUCUGGCUGUGAUCUCGGUCGUUGCGAUUCUGGGCCAGGAGGUGGUGCGGACAUCCGCGUUUUCUCCAGUCCCUGGCAGUGGGGCGACCGAUUUCGAUGGCUUUGGAGACGAGCUGGAUGAGGAAUUUGAUGGAGAAGCGCCGAUUGUGGUUCCUCCACACGCCGUUAGACGUCCCGGCUUCGAGACCGACCGCGGGCCUCCGGCAGCUCAUCAUCCGUUCGAGAAGCCGGAAGUGGACCGUGAGGAAAGAAUCCAAGAGCCUGUUGCGAGCGUGGAAAAGCCUCGGAGGCAGCAGGAGCAGUGGGACGAGGAUGAGUUCGAGGGCUUGCCGAGUGAAGAUCCGGAGCCGGAAGAAGCUGCUCCUGCAAAGACUUCGCCAAGCCCGAGUAGCAAUCGCCGAGCUCCCAGCGGUCCUCAAAACUACUACAUGGAGGCCUUCUCAGUGGUGUUCUUGGUGGCUUACGCGGCGAAGUACUUUCUCGGAAGGAAGGAAAACGAGAAGAUUGCCUUGGCCUGGGCUGGUGAGUACGCAGGCAAAGGCAGCAUCUUCGAGAAGAACUUUAGCUUGUUGGGGAUCGGAGAGGCGGAGGAUGCGGCGCUACUCAUGAAGGAAGGGCAGAACGUUUUCAAGUUCUACGCUUCUGGGAGGAGGUACUGCCAGGGAAUGCUCGCGACGAUGGAGCUUAAGAACAGGCAAGACUUAAUCUCUUGCCUCUGGUACUACGUGAUGCCGGCGAAAGACGAGAUCACCAUCCAGGUCUUCAUGAACGACGAGAGCAUGGACAACGUUGUCGCGGCAGUGGCACGUCGAAAGAAUGCCAAGGCGAUGAGCAAAGACGUACGAGAUUUGCAGCAGUUUGCGACCAUCUUGACGCCGUCCUCGCGAGGUAAAUCCUUGUCUGAGGAUCUCGCAGUCAUUGCAGAGUCGCGGGAAGUCUCGAACGAUUUGCUCACCGACGCGGUUUUGGAUAUGGCCCUUGGAGAGAAGACGUUCAAAGAACACGGAGCCAACUUUGUUUCUCUUCACUUGUCGGAUGUGUAUCCCCUCGGUGUGCACAGGAAGCUCCUCCAGUUCAAGUUUUAUCUCCCGCCUGCAAACCGCAUGGGAGAGAUUUCUCGACUGAUCCAGAUGGUUCCUCAUUUCAUCGAUGCGGUUGGCCGCUACAAACUUAGUCCACAGGCUCGGGCGAAAGUCGACCCGGCAAGGCAAAAGUCGCAGCAGGAAGCGUUGAAGCAGGCCCAAAACGCUCGCCACGAAGCCAUGACUCGCAAGCGAGAGGAGAAACGAAGGGCCGCCGAGGAGCUCGAGUCGCGCUUGAGCCCCGAGGCCCUCCGCAGGAAGGAAGAGAAGGAGCGCGCGAAGCAGCUCAAGAAAUCCAUGCCAAAGAUGAGGAUGACCCGAGCUCACUGAUCUCGAUCAAACGCGAUUAAAGUUGAACCAACGAAGUUUCCUGGUGUGUCAAAAGAUUCAGUCGGAUUUGCGCACUGAGGUAUCAAAAGCCGCGCGACCUUUCUUUUUUUCUCUUUCUUUAUUUUCCGCCCGUGAUGCUUCAAAUGUGGAGUGCUCCAAAAAAUCAAAGGUCAAACCCAUGGUGCUGCUUGUUUGAUAAGAUUGGCGAUCGAUGAUGCGACGAUAACAACAAUCCAUCUUGAUUCUCAA